rnacentral:rRNA from 1 species
UACGGGGGGAGCAAGCGUUGUUCGGAUUUACUGGGCGUAAAGGGCGCGUAGGCGGUCAGCACAAGUCAGUUGUGAAAUCUCCGGGCUUAACUCGGAAAGGUCAACUGAUACUGUGCGACUAGAGUGCGGAAGGGGCAACUGGAAUUCUCGGUGUAGCGGUGAAAUGCGUAGAGAUUUGGAGGAACACCAGUGGCGAAGGCGACUUUCUGGUCUGUAACUGACGCUGAGGCGCGAAAGCGUGGGGAGCAAACAGG